rnacentral:rRNA from 1 species
UACGGGGGGGGCAAGCGUUGUUCGGAAUUACUGGGCGUAAAGGGCUCGUAGGCGGCCAACUAAGUCAUACGUGAAAUCCCUCGGCUUAACCGGGGAACUGCGUCUGAUACUGGAUGGCUUGAGUUCGGGAGAGGGAUGCGGAAUUCCAGGUGUAGCGGUGAAAUGCGUAGAUAUCUGGAGGAACACCGGUGGCGAAGGCGGCAUCCUGGACCGAUACUGACGCUGAGGAGCGAAAGCCAGGGGGAGCAAAACGGGG